UACGGAGGGGGCGAGCGUUAUUCGGAAUUAUUGGGCGUAAAGGGCGCGUAGGCGGUCCGACAAGUCAGAGGUGAAAUCCCUCGGCUCAACUGAGGAACUGCCUUUGAAACUGUCGGACUUGAGUCCGGGGGAGGGUAGUGGAAUUCCCAAUGUAGCGGUGAAAUGCGUAGAUAUUGGGAGGAACACCAGUGGCGAAAGCGGCUCACUGGACCAUAACUGACGCUGAUGCACGAAAGCUAGGGGAGCAAACAGG
rnacentral:rRNA from 1 species